rnacentral:rRNA from 1 species
UAUUUAGGGUGACACUAUAGAAUACUCAAGCUAUGCAUCCAACGCGUUGGGAGCUCUCCCAUAUGGUCGACCUGCAGGCGGCCGCACUAGUGAUUGUAAGGUUCUUCGCGUUGCAUCGAAUUAAGCAACAUGCUCCGCCGCUUGUGCGGGCCCCCGUCAAUUCCUUUGAGUUUUAGCCUUGCGGCCGUACUCCCCAGGCGGGGCGCUUAAUGCGUUAGCUGCGGCACGGAACUCGUGGAAUGAGUCCCACACCUAGCGCCCAACGUUUACGGUGUGGACUAUCAGGGUAUCUAAUCCUGUUCGA